UGCAGUCGAGCGGUAGAGAGAAGCUUGCUUCUCUUGAGAGCGGCGGACGGGUGAGUAAUACCUAGGAAUCUGCCUGAUAGUGGGGGAUAACGUUCGGAAACGGACGCUAAUACCGCAUACGUCCUACGGGAGAAAGCAGGGGACCUUCGGGCCUUGCGCUAUCAGAUGAGCCUAGGUCGGAUUAGCUAGUUGGUGAGGUAAUGGCUCACCAAGGCUACGAUCCGUAACUGGUCUGAGAGGAUGAUCAGUCACACUGGAACUGAGACACGGUCCAGACUCCUACGGGAGGCAGCAGUGGGGAAUAUUGGACAAUGGGCGAAAGCCUGAUCCAGCCAUGCCGCGUGUGUGAAGAAGGUCUUCGGAUUGUAAAGCACUUUAAGUUGGGAGGAAGGGCAUUAACCUAAUACGUUGGUGUCUUGACGUUACCGACAGAAUAAGCACCGGCUAACUCUGUGCCAGCAGCCGCGGUAAUACAGAGGGUGCAAGCGUUAAUCGGAAUUACUGGGCGUAAAGCGCGCGUAGGUGGUUUGUUAAGUUGAAUGUGAAAUCCCCGGGCUCAACCUGGGAACUGCAUCCA
rnacentral:rRNA from 1 species